rnacentral:rRNA from 1 species
AUACAGAGGGUGCAAGCGUUAAUGGGAUUGACUGGGCGUAAAGGGCACGUAGGUGGAUGUAUAAGUCGGAUGUGAAAGCCCCGGGCUCAACCUGGGAACUGCAUUCGAAACUGUAUGACUAGAGUACAGGAGAGGGAAGUGGAAUUUCCGGUGUAGCGGUGAAAUGCGUAGAUAUCGGAAGGAACACCAGUGGCGAAGGCGACUUCCUGGCCUGAUACUGACACUGAGGUGCGAAAGCGUGGGGAGCAAACAGGAUUAGAAACCCUAGUAGUCC